AACGGCCAUACCAUGCUGAAUGUACCGGUUCUCGUUAGAUAUUGGGCGCGGUCAGUACUUGGGUGGGUGACCACCUGGGAACACCGCGUGCCGUU